GAUGAAGACAUUCUUCUCUUUGGUUUUUCCUCACCUAGAAUCCUAGAAUAGUUCUAGGUCUCUCACCUGAGAGGAGAUCGGUCUCCUCCUUUGUUUAUGCCAAAGAAGAUACAAACCCACCCAAACCUCAUACCCCAAAAAAGAUAUUUAGUCCCUCUUUACCUCUAGUAUCUCAUGGUAAAAAUAAGAGAGUGGUUUGCACACAAAAAUGUAGGCUUUUUAUGGUUGUCACACAAAUGGGCAU
rnacentral:lncRNA from 1 species